ACGCUCGACACCUACGGGAGGCAGCAGUAGGGAAUCUUCCGCAAUGGACGAAAGUCUGACGGAGCAACGCCGCGUGAACGAUGAAGGUUUUCGGAUCGUAAAGUUCUGUUGUUAGGGAAGAACAAACUUCGUUUGAAUAAGGCGGAGUCAUGACGGUACCUAACGAGAAAGCCACGGCUAACUACGUGCCAACAGCCGCGGUAAUCUGAGCGGGCUGGCAAGGC
rnacentral:rRNA from 1 species